rnacentral:rRNA from 1 species
GACGGAGGAUGCAAGUGUUAUCCGGAAUCACUGGGCGUAAAGCGUCUGUAGGCGGUUUAAUAAGUCAACUGUUAAAUCUUGAGGCUCAACCUCAAAAUCGCAGUCGAAACUAUUAGGCUAGAGUAUAGUAGGGGUAAAGGGAAUUUCCAGUGGAGCGGUGAAAUGCGUAGAUAUUGGAAAGACCACCAAUGGCGAAGGCACUCUACUGGGCCAUUACUGACACUGAGAGACGAAAGCUAGGGGAGCGAAUGGG